rnacentral:rRNA from 1 species
GAGGUCUUGCCUGCCCAGUGACAAUGUUAAACGGCCGCGGUAUUUUGACCGUGCGAAGGUAGCGCAAUCACUUGUCUUUUAAAUGAAGACCUGUAUGAAUGGUGAAACGAGGGCUUAACUGUCUCCCUUUUCUAGUCAAUGAAAUUGAUCUGCCCGUGCAGAAGCGGACAUAAAAAUACAAGACGAGAAGACCCUUUGGAGCUUAAGAUAUAAAGAUCAUCUAUGUCAAUGGGCCCCAGCACGGCAACAAACUAAAUAGCAACUGAUCUUAAUCUUCAGUUGGGGCGACCACGGGAGAAAAUAAAGCUCCCACGCGGAAUGGGGUAAACCCUAAAACCAAGAAAAACAUUUCUAAGCAACAGAACUUCUGACCAUUAAGAUCCGGCUACACGCCGACCAACGGACCAAGUUACCCUAGGGAUAACAGCGCAAUCCCCUUUCAGAGUCCAUAUCGACAAGGGGGUUUACGACCUCGAUGUUGGAUCAGGACAUCCUAAUGGUGCAGCCGCUAUUAAGGGUUCGUUUGUUCAACGAUUAAAGUCCUACGUGAUCUGAGUUCAGACCGG